UACGGAGGGAGCUAGCGUUGUUCGGAAUUACUGGGCGUAAAGCGCGUGUAGGCUGCUCUGCAAGUCGGAUGUGAAAGCCCUGGGCUCAACCUAGGAAGUGCAUUCGAAACUGCAGAGCUGGAGUCCUGGAGAGGAAGGCGGAAUUCUCGGUGUAGAGGUGAAAUUCGUAGAUAUCGAGAGGAACACCGGUGGCGAAGGCGGCCUUCUGGACCGAUAUUGACGCUGAGGAGCGAAAGCCAGGGGAGCAAACGGG
rnacentral:rRNA from 1 species